CCUACGGUGGCUGCAGUGGGGAAUAUUGGACAAUGGGCGAAAGCCUGAUCCAGCCAUGCCGCGUGUGUGAAGAAGGCCUUCGGGUUGUAAAGCACUUUCAGUGGGGAAGAAAGCCUUGGGGCUAAUACCCUCGAGGAAGGACAUCACCCACAGAAGAAGCACCGGCUAACUCCGUGCCAGCAGCCGCGGUAAUACGGAGGGUGCGAGCGUUAAUCGGAAUUACUGGGCGUAAAGCGCGCGUAGGCGGUCUGAUAAGCCGGUUGUGAAAGCCCCGGGCUCAACCUGGGAACGGCACCCGGAACUGUCAGGCUAGAGUGCAGGAGAGGAAGGUAGAAUUCCCGGUGUAGCGGUGAAAUGCGUAGAGAUCGGGAGGAAUACCAGUGGCGAAGGCGGCCUUCUGGACUGACACUGACGCUGAGGUGCGAAAGCGUGGGUAGCAAACAGGAUUAGAUACCCGAGUAGUC
rnacentral:rRNA from 1 species